GAACGCUGGCGGCAGGCUAACACAUGCAAGUCGAGCGCGCCUUCGGGCGAGCGGCGGACGGGUUAGUAACGCUGACGUGCCCAGAUCUACGGAAUAGCCACUGGAAACGGUGAGUAAUACCGUAUACGCCCUUCGGGGGAAAGAUUUAUCGGAUUUGGAUCGGCCCGCGUUAGAUUAGGUAGUUGGUGGGGUAACGGCCUACCAAGCCUACGAUCUAUAGCUGGUUUUAGAGGAUGAUCAGCAACACUGGGACUGAGACACGGCCCAGACUCCUACGGGAGGCAGCAGUGGGGAAUCUUGGACAAUGGGGGCAACCCUGAUCCAGCCAUGCCGCGUGAGUGAAGAAGGCCCUAGGGUCGUAAAACUCUUUCGCCUGUGAUGAUAAUGACAGUAGCAGGUAAAGAAACCCCGGCUAACUCCGUGCCAGCAGCCGCGGUAAUACGGAGGGGGUUAGCGUUGUUCGGAAUUACUGGGCGUAAAGCAGCACAGUAGAGCGGAUUCAACAAAAGGUUAGAGGUUGAAACUCCCGGGGGCUCAACCCCCGGGAAACCUGCCUUUUAAAAACUU
rnacentral:rRNA from 1 species